rnacentral:rRNA from 1 species
AGGGUUUGAUUAUGGCUCAGGAUGAACGCUAGCGGCAGGCCUAACACAUGCAAGUCGAGGGGUAACAGAGAGAAGCUUGCUUUUCUGCUGACGACCGGCGCACGGGUGAGUAACGCGUAUACAAUCUGCCUUAUACAGAGGGAUAGCCUUUAGAAAUGAAGAUUAAUACCUUAUAGUCUAUUUUUAUAGCAUUAUAUAAAUAGUAAAGCUUCGGUGGUAUAAGAUGAGUAUGCGUCCUAUUAGUUAGUUGGUAAGGUAACGGCUUACCAAGACAACGAUAGGUAGGGGCCCUGAGAGGGGGAUCCCCCACACUGGUACUGAGACACGGACCAGACUCCUACGGGAGGCAGCAGUGAGGAAUAUUGGACAAUGGAGGCAACUCUGAUCCAGCCAUGCCGCGUGCAGGAAGACGGCCCUAUGGGUUGUAAACUGCUUUUAUAUAGGAAGAAACCUUUUCACGUGUGAGAAGCUGACGGUACUAUAAGAAUAAGGACCGGCUAACUCCGUGCCAGCAGCCGCGGUAAUACGGAGGGUCCGAGCGUUAUCCGGAAUCAUUGGGUUUAAAGGGUCCGUAGGCGGGAAUCUAAGUCAGUGGUGAAAUCUUGCAGCUCAACUGUAAAAUUGCCAUUGAUACUGGAUUUCUUGAAUUAGUGUGAAGUGAUUAGAAUGUGUAGUGUAGCGGUGAAAUGCAUAGAUAUUACACAGAAUACCAAUUGCGAAGGCAGAUCACUAACACUAUAUUGACGCUGAGGGACGAAAGCGUGGGGAGCGAACAGGAUUAGAUACCCUGGUAGUCCACGCCGUAAACGAUGGAUACUAGCUGUUCGAUCUUCGGAUUGAGUGGCUAAGCGAAAGUGAUAAGUAUCCCACCUGGGGAGUACGUUCGCAAGAAUGAAACUCAAAGGAAUUGACGG